UCUCGGUGGUGUAGUGGUAGCACGCGUCCCCAGUAUGGACGAAACGUGGGUUCGACUCUCUUCUGAGUUCUAA